AUACGGAGGAUGCAAGCGUUAUCCGGAUUUAUUGGGUUUAAAGGGUUCGUAGGCGGAAAAUUAAGUCAGUGGUGAAAGCCUGCAGCUCAACUGCGGAACUGCCAUUGAUACUGAUUUUCUUGAAUUUAUAUGAAGUGGGCGGAAUGCGUCAUGUAGCGGUGAAAUGCACAGAUAUGACGCAGAACACCAAUUGCGAAGGCAGCUCACUAAUGUAAUAUUGACGCUGAGGAACGAAAGCAUGGGGAGCGAACAGGAUUAGAAACCCCAGUAGUCC
rnacentral:rRNA from 1 species